rfam:Schistosoma mansoni strain Puerto Rico chromosome W, complete genome
GCACUGGUGAGGAGUCCCACAAUAGGACGAAACGGCCGUCCAGUGU